rnacentral:sRNA from 1 species
CUUGGUCAUUUAGAGGAAGUAAAAGUCGUAACAAGGUUUCCGUAGGUGAACCUGCGGAAGGAUCAUUACUAGAGCAAAGGAUAGACAGCGCCCGCGGAGCCUUGCUCCCUGGGGCUACCCUACUUCGGUAAGGUUUAGAGUCGUCGGGCCUCUCGAAGAAGCUCGGUCCUGAACUCCACCCUUGAAUAAAUUACCUUUGUUGCUUUGGCGGGCCGCCUCGUGCCAGCGGCUUCGGCUGUUGCGUGCCCGCCAGAGGACCACAACUCUUGUUUUUAGUGAUGUCUGAGUACUAUAUAAUAGUUAAAACUUUCAACAACGGAUCUCUUGGUUCUGGCAUCGAUGAAGAACGCAGCGAAAUGCGAUAAGUAAUGUGAAUUGCAGAAUUCAGUGAAUCAUCGAAUCUUUGAACGCACAUUGCGCCCUCUGGUAUUCCGGGGGGCAUGCCUGUUCGAGCGUCAUUAUAACCACUCAAGCUCUCGCUUGGUAUUGGGGUUCGCGGUCUCGCGGCCCCUAAAAUCAGUGGCGGUGCCUGUCGGCUCUACGCGUAGUAGUACUCCUCGCGAUUGAGUCCGGUAGGUUUACUUGCCAGCAACCCCUAAUUUUUACAGGUUGACCUCGGAUCAGGUAGGGAUACCCGCUGAACUUAAGCAUAUCAAUAAGCGGAGGAAAAGAAACCAACAGGGAUUACCUCAGUAACGGCGAGUGAAGCGGUAACAGCUCAAAUUUGAAAGCUGGCUCUUUUAGGGUCCGCGUUGUAAUUUGUAGAAGAUGCUUCGGGUGUAGCUCCGGUCUAAGUUCCUUGGAACAGGACGUCAUAGAGGGUGAGAAUCCCGUAUGUGACUGGGUGCUUUCGCUCAUGUGAAGCUCUUUCGACGAGUCGUGUUGUUUGGGAAU